rnacentral:rRNA from 1 species
CGAUGGGGAUGCGUUCCAUUAGAUAGUAGGCGGGGUAACGGCCCACCUAGUCAACGAUGGAUAGGGGUUCUGAGAGGAAGGUCCCCCACAUUGGAACUGAGACACGGUCCAAACUCCUACGGGAGGCAGCAGUGAGGAAUAUUGGUCAAUGGACGUAAGUCUGAACCAGCCAAGUCGCGUGAGGGAAGACUGCCCUAUGGGUUGUAAACCUCUUUUAUAAGGGAAGAAUAAGUUGUACGUGUAGAAUGAUGCAUGUACCUUAUGAAUAAGCAUCGGCUAACUCCGUGCCAGCAGCCGCGGUAAUACGGAGGAUGCGAGCGUUAUCCGGAUUUAUUGGGUUUAAAGGGUGCGUAGGCGGACGCUUAAGUCAGUUGUGAAAGUUUGCGGCUCAACCGUAAAAUUGCAGUUGAUACUGGGUGUCUUGAGUACAGUAGAGGCAGGCGGAAUUCGUGGUGUAGCGGUGAAAUGCUUAGAUAUCACGAAGAACUCCGAUUGCGAAGGCAGCCUGCUGGACUGUAACUGACGCUGAUGCUCGAA